GGGUGUAGCUCAGUUGGUAGAGCACCGGUCUCCAAAACCGGGUGUCGCGGGUUCAAGUCCUGCCGCCC
rnacentral:tRNA from 1 species